GACGAACGCUGGCGGCGUGCUUAACACAUGCAAGUCGAGCGGUAAGGCCCUUUCGGGGGUACACGAGCGGCGAACGGGUGAGUAACACGUGGGUGACCUGCCCUCAGCUCUGGGAUAAGCCUGGGAAACCGGGUCUAAUACUGGAUAUGACUCCAUGACGCAUGUUGUGGGGUGGAAAGCCUUGUGCGGCUGAGGAUGGGCCCGCGGCCUAUCAGCUUGUUGGUGGGGUGAUGGCCUACCAAGGCGACGACGGGUAGCCGGCCUGAGAGGGCGACCGGCCACACUGGGACUGAGACACGGCCCAGACUCCUACGGGAGGCAGCAGUGGGGAAUCUUGCGCAAUGGGCGAAAGCCUGACGCAGCGACGCCGCGUGAGGGAUGAUGGCCU
rnacentral:rRNA from 1 species